GGAAGGGUGGCCGAGUGGUUAAUGGCAGCAGACUGUAAAUCUGCCCGCGCGAGCGUACGCUGGUUCGAGAUCCAGCCCCUUCCACCA
rnacentral:tRNA from 1 species